rnacentral:piRNA from 2 species
UGGACCUUCUUUCCAAGGCUGUUCUAAAGGC